rfam:Oryza glaberrima chromosome 5 Oglab05_0117_19, whole genome shotgun sequence.
UUUAAGUACAACCAUGAGUUUCCGCGCUCAACUUUGAUUGUCCGUCUUAUUUGAAUUUUUUUUUUAUAAUUAGUAUUUUUGUUGUUAUGAGAUGAUAAAACAUGAAUAGUAUUUUACUCAUGACUUAUGUUUUUAGUUUUUAAAAAUAAGACGGAUAAUAAAAGUUGAACGCGGAAAACCAUGGCUGCACUUAAA